UGUGAUUCCAACGUAGGCAAAAUAAUACCAGAAUCUGGCCAACGAGCGAACGGAGGUGUGUCAUGGGCGGGGUUCGCGUUGGAAAAGUCGAUGGGGAUACUGUAUCAAUGUGAGCAGUGCUUCAAGAUAGAAAAUAAUGACAACACGUUCAUAGAAACAGUUGACAACCCAGUUAUUGAAAACAUAAUCUAGCUGAAUGGGUCCCCAAGGGAGGAGAGAAAACAUAUUUUGAGAGUCCCUGGGAUAUUACUGCACCUCAGCAACGUCGUCAACAAAGCUUUGCUACACCUUCUCUCCUUCAUUGCAGAGUGGCUGAUGUCUAGAGAGGCCCUCCAUGUUACGUCUGGAGCCCAUGCAAAUGCUCUAGCCUUGAAUGACCUGUACCAGUGCCUUUCCCCUUCUCAACAUCAGCCACUCCUGCCUCAUCAUAGACAAUGGGAUGUCCUAAAAUGAGUAAAAUAAUUUCUCCUCUGAACGACUCUCACAUCUGCAGUGAAAACCUUGAGUGGACCGAGGGAAGCUCAGAGGAGGAUACAUGUACAAGGCACGUGUUGAUUUUCAGGAAAUCCACAGGAGACCAUGAAGAGACAUGAGUAGAGGACAUUUUUAUACCCUGUCCUGGGUUCGUCCAUGGUGCCAUCCAGUUGCACCCUACCCGCUUUUCCUGCAGUGAGCUCUGGGGUGAGGGGCGUACUUCUCCCACCAGGAAAUUAGUAGCUGUGUGGCUCCUGAAGGCCCAUGCCUUGAUGCAGUGAUCUCUACUUCUCUCCUCCUCAGUGUGCCAGCAGAGGGACAAGCUGCAUCUGUGCCUUUUUCUUCCCUCGUCUCUCUCACUUUCUCCCUGCCUCUCUUGCUCUCUCCAAUCCCAUGUCAGUCAGUCAGGGGAGGGAUCCAAGUUGUGCUUCCUGGAAGAGCUUCUCUCUUAAAGGGGCACAACAGAGUCCUGUAUAUCAUGGUUCCAUAUGAGAGGAGUCGUUAAACUUGCUCGCUUGGUGACUCAACAUAAGCAGCAGUCAUAAUCGGAUGGGAUACUUUCUCAUGCAGCAACUGGACCACAGGCUAAGUGGAUGCAUUUUCCCCCUAUUAGUCUAUGAGGAGGACCCUGUGUCCUCUUAUUGGAUGACAACAAGGAAGUGGAAGAUGGCCACGAAUUGGCUUUAGAGGCAUUGUUUUUUUGUUUUAUGGGAGAGAUCUUUUAAAAUGUAGCCUGAUUGAGGAAGACAGUUACUAUUUUAACCCAGAUAUUGUUUUCCUAGUUCUGCGUACAGUUAGAUACUUUUAUCCUCUUUCACUCUCCAAUUCUGCAUAACCAACACAGUAACUCAUUCCUUGAAACACACACUCACUUAAACAGUGAAGAUGACACUCAUCUC
rnacentral:lncRNA from 1 species